CCAGGAAUUGCCUGGUGUUGACCAGAGUGCAUGAAACCACCAGUCACAGACUGUUCCACAACGUGCUCAGGCAAUGUUUCACCACAGCAACACAACACUGAGUGCAUCUCUUUUUUACCUGUAUUUUUUGGUCUGUUCCCUUGCAUUAAUACACACAGAAAAUUGUUUGCAGGUAUAUACUAAUAAAGGUUUAUCUCCAGCAGAGAACCAAAGUAGGUCCAUCUAGAAACAGAUCAGAUGCUAUGUAUGACUUGUGUGGCAAUAUGUUUGGGAUUGUGUGCUAAGGAUGUGCCUUAAAUAAAGGUGGUUCUCAUAGAACUUUGCAUGAUAGCAAUUUGGCAACAUUAUAUAAAGGCUUUAACUUAGGUAGCACAAUGCAUUCCAAAUGUCCCAGUUAGUUUAACAAAACCCGCAGGAACAACAUACAAACAUGAUAUAAUACAACUAACUGUGGCAGAGGUAGUUGAUGAAAAAGCUGCAUUUAAUGUACCACAAUGAUAAAACUAAAGAAGAGCUUCUAUCAGCACGUAUAUCAUCUCCCCUAGGUGAGGCCACUGGACCUGUCCCAUAGUGCAUAGCACUACUGUGCAAUAGACAUCCUAUCCUCACUCUUGUCUGAUCCCAUACACUAUUGCUGUGGAUAUAACAGUUUUGCCAGGAAUGAACACAAUGCCCCAGCUAUAGAGUCAUA